CAGCGGCGGCGGCGGGGGCAUUCUCCGACGAGAGCUGGCCCCAGACCCAGAACAGAGCUGCCCACCUGCAGCCUCCCGAAUCCAAUGGUGGGCUUCGGUCUCCCUGCCGACCCUCGACGUGCCACGCGGAGGGAGCUGCCGGAGGGCGCCGCCGGCCCGCCGUACUUCUAUUUCGAGAACGUCGCCCUCGCGCCGAAGGGAGUCUGGGAGACCAUGUCCCAGUUUCUCUACGGGGUUGAGCCCGAGUUCGUGGAUUCCAAGCAUUUCUGCGCCGCCGCCAGGAAGAGGGGCUACAUCCACAACCUCCCCAUUGACGGGAGGAGCCAGCUUCUUCCCGCCCCCCCGCUCAGCAUCCACGAAGCUCUGCCGGCGACGAGGAAAUGGUGGCCUUCCUGGGACAGGAGGACGAAGCUGAACUGCCUGCAGACGUGCACCGCCACCGCGAGGCUCACCGAGCGGAUACGCGCCGCCGUCGCCGGUGCCGGCGGCGACCCGCCGGCCCCCGACGUGCAGCGGUUCGUCCUCGAGGAGUGCCGGAAGUGGAAUCUGGUGUGGGUGGGCCUGCACAAGGUGGCGCCUUUAGAGCCCGACGAAGUGGAGAUGCUGCUGGGCUUCCCCAAGAACCACACGCGAGGCGGCGGGAUAAGCAGGACCGAGCGAUUCCGAUCCCUCGGGAACUCCUUCCAGGUGGACACCGUGGCUUACCAUCUCUCUGUGCUGAAGGGUAUCUUCCCCGAGGGGCUGCGGGUGCUGUCGCUCUUCUCCGGGAUUGGUGGCGCGGAGGUGGCGCUCCACCGGCUGGGCAUCCGCCUCAAGCUCGUCGUCUCCGUGGAGAUCUCGGAGGUGAACAGGA
rnacentral:lncRNA from 1 species